rnacentral:rRNA from 1 species
AUUGAACGCUGGCGGCAGGCCUAACACAUGCAAGUCGAACGAGUGGCGGACGGGUGAGUAAUGUCUGGGAAACUGCCCGAUGGAGGGGGAUAACUACUGGAAACGGUAGCUAAUACCGCAUACCAUCGGAUGUGCCCAGAUGGGAUUAGCUAGUAGGUGGGGUAACGGCUCACCUAGGCGACGAUCCCUAGCUGGUCUGAGAGGAUGACCAGCCCGAAUGGAACGGAGCCCCGGUCCAGGCUCCGACGGGAGGCAGCAGUGGGGAAUAUAGCACAAUGGGCGCGAGCCUGAUGCAGCCAUGCCGCGUGUAUGAAGAAGGACUUCGGGUUGUCAAGUACUUUCCGCGAGAAGGCGUUACGCGCAUAAGACGCACCGGCUAACUCCGUGCCAGCAGCCGCGGUAAUAC